CUGGGGCUAAUACCGCAUGACGCCUUAGGGCCAAAGCUUUUGGGUGCCUGACGAGGAGCCUGCGUCCGAUUAGUUAGUUGGUUGGGUAAUGGCUGACCAAGACGUCGAUCGGUAGCUGGUCUGAGAGGAUGAUCAGCCACACUGGGACUGAGACACGGCCCAGACUCCUACGGGAGGCAGCAGUGGGGAAUAUUGGACAAUGGGCGCAAGCCUGAUCCAGCAAUGCCGCGUGGAUGAAGAAGGUUUUCGGAUUGUAAAGUCCUUUCGGCGGGGACGAUGAUGACGGUACCCGCAGAAGAAGCCCCGGCUAACUUCGUGCCAGCAGCCGCGGUAAUACGAAGGGGGCUAGCGUUGCUCGGAAUGACUGGGCGUAAAGGGCGCGUAGGCGGAAUGCUUUGUCGGGCGUGAACAUUCCAGGGGCUUAACCUUGGGGCUGCGUUCGAGACGGGUA
rnacentral:rRNA from 1 species